rnacentral:lncRNA from 1 species
CAACGACCGUCUGACUGUGGGGUAGGGGCUGGGGCAGGGGCCUCCAGGUCGCCGUCCACUGGAGCACCCGAAAAGCCGGCCAACGUCCCGCUUGAGCAUGCACACUCCUCGCGCACUGCGGCGCCUGCAGCAGCUCAGCACCGGCCCUCCGCCCACCCGCCUCCCUGCACUGGGCUGCGGGGUCUGCAAGCCGACCCAGGGCAGGCUGGCUGGCCCGGGCCCCCACGCCCCCCCCGCCCGGCGGGUGGCCUGGCUCUGCACCCGCCGGGAAGAAGCCACGGCGGGUCGGGUCUGCAAGGUCUCCGUGUCCGCGAGCAUCCAGAGCUUGAUCGAAAAAUAAAAAAGGCACGCAAAGGGGCAAAGCACCGAGGACCACGCGACCUAGGCCGUCCGGGGGCUCCUCUCCAGCCGCCUGCUGCAGCUUACGUUCCUGGCAGCAUCUACAAGGAACAGCUGGCCGGAGGGCUCCCGAGCUGUCACCCCAGCGUCGUGCGCGGCCGCCUCGACUCCCAGCACUUCACAUCCCGCAGUGAGCGCCGACGGCCGACGAGCUCCGGGCCGGGUCCGGGCCGACAAGCUCCCGCCCGCGAGGAGCUGCCGGUGACGCACCCGCGCAGCCCGGGCCCCGCGACGCCGCUGGCAGAGGCACGGGCACGCGGCGGUUACCUGUCCGGCCGCGCGAUCCUCUUCCAGAGUCCCAAGUCCGGGUCAGGUCCGGGCCGCGCGGAGGAGGCGCCCCAUGGACGCCGGGGCUCGGCGCUCGCUCGCCGCGGGGCUGUGUGGCUCGCGCCCGCCGCCGCCGCCGCCGCCGCCGCCGCCGCCGCACUUGUCCCGGCGGCUGCUGUCACCGCUCCGCCCCCGCGGGCUCCGAGCGCGCUGCACCGGCCCGCUGCGAGGACUGCAGACUGCCAGUUCUCUUUUUCCCUUUCUGUUUUACCGCCGGCGGAGAACGGGGAUUUCCACCCGGGGACUUUCCAGUCACGUGACGCCCGGGCCGGCGCCGAGCCCCGCGGUCGCCGGCCGCCAGGGGGCGCAGGGGGCGCAGGGGGCGCGGGCGGCGCAGGAGGCCGGCGGCGCCCCGCCCCGCCCCGCCCCGCCCCGCCCCGCCCCCCCGCGCGAGAAACUCCUGAGCCCCGCCCCCGGGUGUCCCCGCGUGAGUCACCUGGGCAUUUCGGAAGCUGGCCCAACGUCACAUCCAUGUGGAAAUCGCGGUGA